CUGUCCUGGACGGAGUCACUGGCUGCGUCUUACUCUCUUGGGGACAGUCUGAAGCACAAAACUCCUCUGCUUGGGGAUUUCUCAUGUGCAUCUGACAAGGAUUUGUGUUGACGGCUGAUUUGCCAGUUUGUACCUCCCCUAGAUACAUAAUGAGAAUAUGGCUGGCAAGGUGCACCCUCCCGGUCCUGAUAGUUUGCGUCCAUUUACCAGAGAGUCCUUGGCUGCGAUAGAGAAGCGCAUUGAGGAGGACAUCGCUCGGAAAGCCAAACAGAUUGAGGUGCUCGAUGAGAAAGUACCGACACCCAAAAAUGGACUGGAGGCAGGAAAGAACUUGCCUCUUAUAUAUGGGGAUCCCCCACCCGAACUUAUUGGGAUUCCCAUAGAGGAACUAGAUUCUUUUUACAGCAACCAAAAGACAUUUAUCGUCUUAAACAAAGGAAAAGCAAUAUUCCGAUUCACAGCCACCAAAGCCUUAUAUCUACUGGAUCCAUUUAAUCCAAUCAGAAGAGGCGCUAUUAAAGUCUUAAUCCAUUCAUUGUUUAGCUUAUUUAUUAUGUUUACCAUCUUAACAAAUUGUGUUUUUAUGACCAUGAGUGACCCACCACCCUGGUCCAAGAAUGUAGAGUACACGUUUACUGGAAUUUACACCUUUGAGUCCUUAAUAAAAAUCCUGGCUCGGGGUUUUUGUAUUGACAGUUUUACAUUCCUCAGGGAUCCGUGGAACUGGCUGGAUUUCUGUGUCAUUGUUAUGGCUUACACCACAGAGUUUGUAGAUUUGGGGAAUGUGUCUGCCCUUAGGACAUUCCGUGUACUCCGUGCUCUUAAAACAAUUACAGUUAUUCCAGGCCUGAAGACUAUCGUUGGUGCCUUGAUCCAAUCAGUGAAGAAGCUCGCAGAUGUGAUGAUCCUCACCCUCUUCUGCCUUGCUGUCUUUGCCCUCAUUGGCCUUCAGCUCUUUAUGGGAAAUCUGAGGCACAAAUGUGUCCGAUGGCCACCCCCUGAUGACUAUUUCAUGCUUUAUGACAACAGUACCUUAAACUCCACACUAUAUAAUGAUACAAUGAUCAACUCCACUCUCAGCAACAGCACAAAUGUGUUCGACAACGACACCAUUGACUGGGGUGCCUAUCUCAACGAUGAAGCAAAUUUUUACUUCCUGGAUGGAGCAAAUGAUGCACUUCUGUGUGGGAACAGCAGUGAUGCCGGGAAAUGUCCAGAAAGUUACACAUGUAUGAAAACUGGGAGAAAUCCGAAUUAUGGGUACACCAGCUACGACUCAUUCAACUGGGCUUUCCUUUCCCUUUUCCGAUUAAUGACACAGGACUUCUGGGAGAAUCUUUUCCAGUUGACACUACGAGCAGCUGGUAAAACCUACAUGGUCUUCUUUGUGGUGGUAAUUUUUCUGGGGUCUUUCUAUCUGAUCAACUUGAUCCUUGCUGUGGUGGCCAUGGCAUAUGCAGAACAGAAUGAAGCCACUCUGCAAGAAGAAAUAGAAAAGGAGAAAGAGUUCCAGGAGCUUUUGUUGCAGCUAAAGAAACAUCAAGAAGAGCAAGCAAGAAGGAAAUCCAGCGUUGCCUCAGUUGGACUUCUGAACGCAGAAAAGAAAAAUGCUCUUUCAGAGAACACUCUUUCUGGGGAUGGCACAGAAAAUAUGGACUGCAAUGGGCGAACUGUGCCCAAAGUUAUAAUUGAACGUGCACCCUCAAUGGAGGAUACAAGCUCAGCACAGUCAGACCAACAGAGGAAUUCUAAAGUUUAUUUGGAGGAGCCAACUCUGCAGAAAAGAGCAGAGAGCACCCACAGUGUCCUAUCGGAAGUAGCUCUUGAAGAACUGGAAGAGGCUCAUCAGAAAUGCCCUCCUUGGUGGUACAAGUUUGCUAACACCUUUUUGAUUUGGGACUGCUGUGACCUGUGGGUGAAAUUUAAGGAAUUUGUAAGGUUUGUGGUCAUGGAUCCCUUUGUUGACCUGGGAAUCACCAUUUGCAUCGUGCUUAACACCCUUUUUAUGGCCAUGGAGCACUACCCAAUGACUGAGCAGUUUGAGGGUGUUCUGAAUGUAGGAAACUUGGUCUUUACUGGCAUAUUUGCAGCUGAAAUGUUCUUCAAGAUCAUAGCCCUGGAUCCAUAUUACUACUUCCAAGUGGGGUGGAACAUAUUCGACAGCAUUAUAGUCACUUUAAGUUUGGUGGAGUUGGGCCUUGCAAAUGUGGAAGGUCUGUCCGUGCUCAGAUCGUUCCGUCUGCUCAGGGUGUUCAAGCUAGCCAAAUCAUGGCCAACCCUUAACAUGCUUAUCAAAAUCAUCGGUAACUCGGUCGGAGCACUUGGAAACCUCACCUUGGUGUUGGCCAUCAUUGUCUUCAUCUUUGCGGUGGUGGGGAUGCAGCUAUUUGGGAAGAGCUACAAGGAAUGUGUGUGCAAGAUUGCCUCUGACUGCGAGCUACCACGGUGGCACAUGCACGAUUUCUUCCACUCUUUUCUCAUUGUCUUCCGUAUCCUGUGCGGGGAGUGGAUAGAGACAAUGUGGGACUGCAUGGAAGUGGCAGGGCAAGCAAUGUGCCUGGUCGUGUUCAUGAUGGUCAUGGUGAUUGGUAACCUGGUGGUCCUCAAUCUCUUUUUGGCUUUGUUGCUGAGUUCCUUCAGCGCGGAUAACUUGUCGGCUUCGGACGACGAUGGGGAGAUGAACAACCUGCAGAUCGCCAUCGGAAGGAUCACCAGGGGCAUUGACUUUGUGAAGAAAACCUUCUUCUCCAUCCUACAUUACAAGAGGAAGGCAAAAGCUGAGCAGGAGGAAGAGGACCCUAACAAAGAAAACAUUGCUCUGAACCAUGUAGAGACAGAACCAGAACCCAAGAUAGAACUAGAACCCAGGACAGAACCAGAACCCAAAAAAGAACCUCCACUGAUUGAUGGCGUGACUAAAAAACGUUAUUACAUGGAUGAGUUUGACCACGCUAAUUUUUUUAACAACCCACACAUGAGAAUAGAAGUACCUAUUGCCUCAGAAGAGUCCGACUUCGACAUUCCAGACACGGAUGAGUUUAGCACACAGUCGGAGGUAGAGGAAGGGAUUUUACACCACAAGAAGUACGAUGAUGGCUCGUCAGUGUGUAGCACAGCAGAUUAUAAACCUCCUGAACCUGAAGAGGAAGAGGAGGCCUUUGAACACAAAGAAGACGAAGGCCCAGAAGAAUGCUUUACUGCUGACUGUGUACGAAGAUGCCCUUGUCUUUAUGUCGACAUCACAACAGAAAAAGGGAAAAUUUGGUGGAACAUUCGGAAAACAUGUUUCCAGAUUGUGGAGCAUAACUGGUUUGAAACCUUCAUCAUCUUCAUGAUCUUACUCAGUAGUGGAGCACUGGCAUUUGAGGAUAUCUACAUUGAACAGAGGCAAGUGAUAAAGACUAUCCUGGAGUACGCUGAUAAAGUCUUCACAUAUAUUUUUGUGUUUGAAAUGCUGCUAAAGUGGACAGCGUAUGGCUUCAAGAUCUAUUUCACGAAUGCCUGGUGCUGGCUGGACUUCCUAAUUGUUGACGUGUCUUUAAUCAGCCUGACAGCCAACUGGCUGGGCUACUCGGAACUUGGUCCCAUCAAAUCCCUUAGAACGCUGAGGGCCCUUAGGCCGUUACGAGCGUUAUCAAGAUUUGAAGGCAUGAGGGUGGUUGUAAACGCCCUUCUGGGAGCCAUUCCUUCUAUCAUGAAUGUCCUGCUUGUUUGUCUGAUCUUCUGGCUCAUCUUCAGCAUCAUGGGUGUUAACCUCUUUGCUGGGAAAUAUUAUCGAUGCAUCAACACGACCACGUCAGAAUUAUUUGAGAUCGAUGUGGUCAACAACCGCUCGGACUGCCUCGCUUUAAACAACUCCGAGCAAGUGCGAUGGGUUAAUGUCAAAGUGAAUUUUGACAAUGUGGGCCUUGGGUAUCUCUCCCUUCUACAAGUGGCAACCUUCAAAGGCUGGAUGGAUAUCAUGUAUGCCGCUGUAGAUUCCCGGAAUAUUGAGGAUCAGCCACAAUAUGAAAUAAAUCUUUAUAUGUAUUUGUACUUUGUAAUAUUCAUUAUUUUUGGAGCUUUCUUCACUCUAAACCUGUUUAUCGGUGUCAUUAUCGACAACUUCAAUCAGCAAAAGAAAAAGUUUGGAGGUAAGGAUAUCUUUAUGACUGAGGAACAGAAGAAAUACUACAAUGCUAUGAAAAAGCUGGGAUCCAAAAAACCCCAAAAGCCAAUUCCAAGACCCACGAACAAAAUUCAAGGUUUGGUGUAUGACUUUGUCACAAAGCAGCUCUUUGACAUUGUGAUUAUGAUUUUAAUUUGCCUCAACAUGGUGACGAUGAUGAUUGAAACAGAUGACCAGAGUCAGGAAAAAACUGAUAUUCUUUUCAAGAUCAAUCUGGUGUUCAUUGUCAUCUUCACAGCCGAAUGUGUUCUCAAAAUGUUUGCGCUGAGGUACUACUUUUUCACAAUAGGAUGGAACAUAUUUGACUUUGUGGUGGUCAUCCUAUCUAUUGUUGGUAUUGUUCUCUCGGAUCUCAUAGCAGAGUACUUUGUUUCACCAACACUUUUCAGAGUCAUCAGACUGGCGAGAAUCGGUAGAGUUCUUCGACUCAUAAGAGGAGCAAAGGGGAUUCGCACAUUACUUUUUGCCCUGAUGAUGUCUCUCCCCGCUCUCUUUAAUAUCGGGCUUUUGCUUUUCUUAGUUAUGUUCAUCUAUUCAAUCUUUGGAAUGUCCAAUUUUGCCUAUGUAAAGAAAGAAUCUGGAAUAGAUGACAUAUUUAAUUUUGAAACCUUUGGAAACAGCAUAAUAUGCUUGUUCCAAAUCACCACGUCUGCUGGUUGGGAUGGUCUUUUAAAUCCAAUCCUAAAUAGCGGCCCACCAGAUUGUGACCCCCAUCUGGAGAACUUUGGAACAACAGUUACUGGUGAUUGUGGUAACCCAGCUAUAGGUAUUGUGUUCUUCUGCAGCUACAUCAUAAUAUCAUUUUUAAUAGUUGUCAAUAUGUACAUUGCCAUUAUCCUGGAGAACUUUAAUGUUGCCACAGAAGAGAGUGGUGAGCCAUUAUGUGAGGAUGACUUUGAGAUGUUUUAUGAAACUUGGGAGAAGUUUGAUCCAGAUGCCACUCAGUUUGUUGAAUACAGUCGAAUGUCAGACUUUGUAGACACUUUGCAAGAUCCUCUACGGAUUCCGAAACCUAACAAAAUAAAACUAAUUACUUUGGAUCUCCCAAUGGUAACUGGAGAUAAGAUUCACUGCUUGGAUAUUCUGUUUGCACUAACUAAAGAGGUGUUGGGGGACUCAGGAGAAAUGGAUGCAUUAAAAGCCUCAAUGGAAGAAAAGUUUAUGAUGGCAAAUCCAUCAAAAGUGUCUUAUGAACCAAUCACCACCACCCUUAAAAGAAAGCAGGAAGAAGUCUGUGUCAUCAAAAUCCAGAGGGCCUUUAGGAGACAUCUAUUGAGACGUUCGGUGAAACACGCUUCCUACAUCUUCAGGCAAAGUAAUGAUGAAGAGUCAUCAGUGGAGGAACCUCCUGAAAAAGAAGGGUUGAUAGCUGAAAGAAUUAAUGCAGCCUACGGAAAAUAUGUAGAGGAAGGGCAAAACGGCGGAACUCAUCGCCCAAGAUCAACAAACAGAACUUCACACAGCAGUAUAGAUUAUGAUGUAAGAGAGACAGAUGUGUAGGCAUAUAUACACAAGACCUUCAUAAACUUAUAGUUAAAUUUGACUUUGGUGUCAGAAUGAUCUGGUUUGAGGCAUUUCUCAAAGUGGAUAUACGCAUGAAAUCUCUGCUCAGGGGGAUGGUGGUAUAUAAACCACAAAUACAUGCAGUUAAAUCUGAUAGCCCAGCCCAUUUGUCACUUUAUAAAUGAUGAAAAACAGUAGCAAACAUGUACUUUAAUUCUAACUUAUUUAUAUAUUUCUCAUUUAUACAAAUACAGAAAAUUCAGUGCUCUAUUCUGAGUCUAAGGAAAGUACUAAAUGUAAUUAUUGUAUAAUAUAGUAAGCCAAGUACGGCCCUGAAUAUGCCUCCCCUGUAUUGGACCCAAUAAUGCAUUCUGCUGAUUUAUUUCUAGUAGUUACACCACCCUAGUUCAAUUCACCCUGUAUGAUCACAGCAAAGUCAAAUCAAUGCAAUUUGAAAUCAAUGCAAUUUGAAAUCAUUUGUACACGGCUUUAAUGGGUAGCAACACAAUGGAGAUGUUUUUUAACUAUUUUUUAAAGAUUUUUCUUGUAUUUUAUUGAUUAAAAUGUAAUAAAAAUGGUGUUGAUCUGCACAACAGAUCCCACUAUUGGGUACAAUAAACCCCUAUGGGACUGCAAACAUUGAAUAAGGAGAAUCGCUACACUGGUUAAUGUGACUAAUACAGACUCAUAGGGGCUGGUUUAUCAAUUUUUGGAUUCAAAUUUAUGCCGUGAUUUUAUUUUGAACUUGUCGUUACAAAUUAGGGCUUCCAAAACUUGAAAGUUUGAUAAUUAUUUUUUAAUUUUGAGCUAAACUUACUCUGCACCGCUGAGCCUAUUUCUUUGUUUUUUUUCCUUUGCAGUAAAAUAGCUCUCAAGUUGGCCUAAGGCUAUGGAUAUAAUGACUCCAAAUCAAAAGCUCUUGCCUUCUUCCUGUUGGAACUGACAGAGGGAACACAGUGACCAGGUGUUCCUGCAGAUUCAUCUCUUUCAUGUUGGAGCAACAAUGAAGUACAAGGCAACAUGAAUAUCUUCAAUCCCCCUUCCCCCCCAAUCUUCUAUACUCUAUUUUAGUCAGGGGUUUGUAUAGUAUGGGCUCAAGUGUGUGUGUUGGAAGAACAGGAAGCUUUGGAAAAUACUCAUUCUAGAGUUGGGGCUCACAUUUUGGUCUUCAAAACCGGUUUUUAUUUCCCUAAGGCAUGUUUGAGAACUCCAUAGCUUCCAUGUUAUGAUACCAUUGUAAUAGGGCCAGAUGGGGUGAAUUUAGGAAAAAUAGAUACAGUGUAUUAAAUGCAAAGUUGGACGGUACUACACAAGAGCAGUGGUCCUCCAUUUCAGUUUUCAACCUUUAUCGACAAGCAAGAAUUUUACACAGUGAACAAAAUAAAUGAAUCCCAGAGUUAAGAAAAUAAUUAACAAAAAUGUGUUUUGUUGGUAAAGUUAAACAGAAAACCAAAUGUGAUAAAUCCCAGUUUUUGGGUGAAUAUGAUUUAUUAUUUUUUUGGACAUGUUUACAAUGCAUUGUAUUUGCGAAUGUCGCCAAUACUAAGUGAUAUAGGGACAGUAAGAUACCAUGGUGGUCGGUUGAGACUCUAAUACCAUAAAUAUACAGUUAUGUAGGUUGCUCCAUAGCCAAAGAUACAAGAAAAUCAUGGGAAAUAUUCCCUAAACAGCACGAAUCUCAGUAUCCCUCAGUCAGCUGAGCCCAUUAACAGAAUUCUGGGAAUUCUAGUUCUUUAUUUUGUUUUUCUUGAUACACCCCCGGGAUAUUCCCAGAAUAGUCUACUUAUACAUUGUCCCUGUUUUGCUAAAUGAAUGCAAAUGUUUCACUUUUUACAGCAUUGGAUUCACUAGUAAUCUGAGAGCCAUUUAACUUUGUACACAUUGACUUAAAGUUUAAAUUAAUAUGUUUAGCGGUUGGACGCUACAUGCAAGAUAGCGAUGUUAUGCUGGUCUUAAUUCACAAUUACUGUAUGUAAUAAAAUAAUGUAUCACAGUAAGAAGCCAAAAUAAUUACUCAAUAUAUACUGCAAAUAAUAUAUUUAUUCUACAGGCGUAACCAGAAAGCUCUGAAUUAUGAAGGCCACCUGGCGUAUUUAAGCAAAUAUUUCAAAUUGUUAAGGAAAAUUCCCUUUUUCUCUGUACUAAUAAAGAUGCACCUUAUACUUGAUGGAAACUAAGCUGCAUGAAUCCAUAUUGGUGGCAAAACAAUCUAAUACUUAAAUGCCUUUAGGCCAGAAGGUGAUCCAAAUGAUGGAAAGAUCCCUUAUCUGGAAAAGCCCAGGUCCCAGACAUUCUGCAUAGGGAUGAUCAAAUAUUUUGUGAAAUUUUCUGCAAAUCUGAGCCAGAAUUUCACCAUGUAGCAAGGAAAAAAAAGGUAUAGCAGUAUUAGAGUUUUGCCAUGCAUUUUAUUUUGCCAGAACAAAUGCUGUUUCUUAAACCUCACCAGCAUUAUUAAAAUUCCUCCAUUCAUUUUUCUUUCGUCAAAAAAAAAAAUUCCCACCAGGAAAAAACACCUAUUGACUCCAAUGUAUUUGAAGCGAAAGAAAGAAAAAAAACCUCCAUCUACAUUGCACCAGAAAAAACACCAAUGGCAUUAUUCAAACUUAUCCAUUUUGCACAUAAAAAUACAUGACGCCCUUUGAUUCCAAUGCAAGACUGAGAAAAAUGCAUUUUUGUGAUUUUGUCUGAGGUUUUGUGCUUUUUUUGGGAAGUUACACUCAUCGCUAAUUCUGGGUAUUUGAUCCCAUAAAUCCCUUAUUUAUAUAAUUAAAGAGCGCCUUGUACUUAGGGUUGCCACCUUCGCCGGUAGCUAAACCUGAGCAAAGGGGGGCGGAGCUGACUGCAUCAGGGGUGGAGCCGUAAUGCUGGGGGAGGGCAUGAUGACAUCAGGGUGUGCACAAUGAAUGUUGUAAACAUUUUUACAGUUUUGAACUGGACACCCCUUCGAAAAACUGGGAUUUCCAAUUCAAAACAAGACAGGUAGCAACCCUAGCUCUGUCUAUAUUCUGCCAAAAAAGUAAAUCCAAGGCUUUCAUUAAAAGUAAAAGAUCUAUUAUACAGAAACCAGUUAUCAAAAAAGCUCUAAAAUACAGCAAUGCUAAUUAAGAAAAACAAUUCCACAUUUUUGACUUAUUUGCUUUUUCUCUCUGUAAUAAUAACACAUUAACUGUGCUUGAUGGUAACUAAGCUGCAUGGAUCCAUAUUGGUGGCAAAGCAAUCCCAUUGGGUUUAUUUAACAUUUACCUGAUUUUUUUAUCAAAUUUAUGUUAUAGGGAACUAAAUUGUGAAAAUGUCCCUUAAAUGGAAAUCCACAGUGCCCAAGUGUUCUCGAAAAUAGAUCCUAUACCCGUAGUAGAAUAAAUAUAUUGCAGUACAUUGAUUGCAGUUUAUGCUCAAAAAGGGCAUAUCUUUAUGGCUUAUUUGUGUGUAUUACACAUGGCUUUUUACCCACUGACUGCAGUAUGUGUCUGUUUGUGAUGCAGUGUGGCAAUGCAGGCUUUUUCAACAGUAUAUUUUGUAUUUUGUAGUACAAGUAGGGUCUGCAGCAACUUGCAGUUCUUUCUGGAAUCUGAUGGAUGAAUAGUUUUUGUAAGCACUGUUAUGCAUUUAGAUGCUGAUAAGAGCACAUGUUUAACCUAUGUUGUUUACAGAUGAAUGUAUUUAAAGAUAAUUCCAGUGCUGAGAGCGGUUAUAUUUUACACCAAAGUGCUUGUAUAUAUUUUUGUUUAGUACUGGAAUUCUAUGAAUAAAGUGCAUUUCAAUUAGAGGUCUUAUUCUUGUACAUUUCAGAAGGUGUAUGCAAUAAAUUAAAGGGAAGUUGAUUUUG